rnacentral:misc_RNA from 1 species
GCAAACUUGGUCAUUUAGAGGAAGUAAAAGUCGUAACAAGGUCUCCGUUGGUGAACCAGCGGAGGGAUCAUUACUGAGUGUAACAACUCCCAAACCCACUGUGAACAUACCACCGUUGCUUCGGCGGGCCACGCCCCGGGCGCCACUGCGUGCCCCGGAACCAGGCGCCCGCCGGGGGACCGAAAACCAUCGUCUUCCUCGUUUCCUUCUGAGUGGACUUGAUACAAUCAAUCAAAACUUUCAACAACGGAUCUCUUGGUUCUGGCAUCGAUGAAGAACGCAGC